GUUGGUCAAAAGUUUCAGAUUUUCAAAGACCAAAACAGAAAGUGAUGCAUGAGGAAUUCCCAAUCAAAGGAAAUGUCAGGUCAGUCCAGGCCAGCCACCAAACAAUAGUUACUCAACACAUUGGAUAUUUUCUUAAGUUUAACUCAAGGAUCCUGAGCCUAAUUGUGUUGCAAUUGAACAAAGCUAACCAGGUACACAGCUGAAAUAGAAUCUGGGAUCUUGCUGAACUUCUGGCACUCUCAGCUUUCUGACGUUCUUUGAUGAAGAGAAUGACUUGUCAAGCAGCCCAGGAGACUGCUACAGGGCCCUCCGACGUGGCUGAGUGAGCACGUCAGUAUUAACCACUUUAAAAAUCUUAAAAACAGGAAUAAAACCAGACAGACCACCUGGCAUUAACUAAGGCACCAGAAAAGACAAUAUCGAACACAGCCCUGGAGACCCCACAUUUGUGCUGAGUGGUGCUGAUUUGGAAAUAUAUCCUUCCUUGUCCAGUACUUCCCGGGAGCAUAGAAACUAUGCCAUGUUCUUUGCAGC